rnacentral:rRNA from 1 species
UCGGCACCUCGAUGUCGGCUCAUCUUAUCCUGGGGCUGGAGAAGGUCCCAAGGGUUUGGCUGUUCGCCAAUUAAAAAGGUACGUGAGCUGGGUUCAAACCGUUGAGA